rnacentral:lncRNA from 1 species
CCAGUUGGAAAUAGGCAUGAUUUAGAGAUCACAUUGCAUGAAAUUUCCAUGCCACUCAUCCAUAUCAGAUCUAUGUCGUCAAGUACAUUGAUGUGGUGGUCAUCGGGGUUCUGUCACGUUAUACGUCAGUGACGACAGCCGCGGUGGUCCCAUUAUUGAUGUAUGAGAUGGACCAGAUUGUAAAGUUGAAAUAUAAAGAUAAAUAGCAUUCGGAUGCGCGCCUAAGGAACAAUGAUAUAAUUAUAACGAUAUGUAGCCCAAGUGGGAGAUUGUUGGAAUAUUUUAUAAUAUUCCAAUAAUAUUAUGUGGGCAAAAUAUCUUUAUAUAUAAUUAUAUUAGCUAUUUAUCAAUUAGAAGCCUUAAUUGAUUAAGUGAUCAAAUAAAGUAAAAGGCUAAUUAGAUUUCUAUUUAAAAUUAAUUAAUUAAUUGGAUAUGGGCUCAAUAUGAGUGGAUGUCAG